CGCGUUGAUUUAAUUAUGCGGCACACCUAUAUACGUUCCGCUGGCUUCGGCCAGCUAUGGUGAUAAACGGACGAUGAAAUAAGCCCAUUGGACCCGGGGGCGGUACCCGGCGCCUCCACCACAAUGCAGCAGAACAACGCUGCCUUGUGGCGGGGGCGAAAUAGGAUCGACAAGGGUGUAAAGAUCGAACUUUUGCCCGGCAUUGUACCACCGUUAUCGGGCUAACUCAGUAGUUGCAAACGACAACUAUGCGGAAGCACGUAUCGCUGCUUAAUGCAGUGCUAUAGCUUCAAAUCAAGUCCUAGGGGUUCGCACUUCUAGGCGGGGUUCGGAGGUACCUGGCAACAGAAACCUCCACU
rnacentral:tmRNA from 1 species